GAGUUUGAUCCUGGCUCAGGACGGACGCUGGCGGCGUGCCUAACACAUGCAAGUCGAACGGAGCUAGACGCUGAGGACGUAGCUUGCUAUUGAAUCUUGUUUAGCUUAGUGGCGGACGGGUGAGUAACGCGUGAGCAACCUACCUUUCAGAGGGGGAUAACGUUUGGAAACGAACGCUAAUACCGCAUGAUAUUAUUGGGCAGCAUUGCCUGAUAAUCAAAGGAGCAAUCCGCUGAAAGAUGGGCUCGCGUCCGAUUAGGCAGUUGGCGGGGUAACGGCCCACCAAGCCGACGAUCGGUAGCCGGACUGAGAGGUUGAACGGCCACAUUGGGACUGAGACACGGCCCAGACUCCUACGGGAGGCAGCAGUGAGGGAUAUUGGUCAAUGGGGGAAACCCUGAACCAGCAACGCCGCGUGAGGGAAGACGGUUUUCGGAUUGUAAACCUCUGUCCUCUGUGAAGAUGAUGACGGUAGCAGAGGAGGAAGCUCCGGCUAACUACGUGCCAGCAGCCGCGGUAAUACGUAGGGAGCAAGCGUUGUCCGGAUUUACUGGGUGUAAAGGGUGCGUAGGCGGCUUUGCAAGUCAGAAGUGAAAUCUAUGGGCUUAACCCAUAAACUGCUUUUGAAACUGCAGGGCUUGAGUGAAGUAGAGGUAGGCGGAAUUCCCGGUGUAGCGGUGAAAU
rnacentral:rRNA from 1 species